UGAGGAAUAUUGGUCAAUGGGGGGAACCCUGAACCAGCCAUCCCGCGUGCAGGAAGACAGUUCUAUGGAUUGUAAACUGCUUUUCUUGGGGAAGAAUAAUGACGACGUGUCGUCAGAUGACGGUACCCGAGGAAUAAGCAUAGGCUAACUCCGUGCCAGCAGCCGCGGUAAUACGGAGGAUGCAAGCGUUAUCCGGAUUUAUUAGGUUUAAAGGGUGUGUAGGCGGAUGUAUAAGUCAGUGGUGAAAGUCAGCAGCUUAACUUGAGAAUUGCCAUUGAUACUGUAUGUCUUGAGUUGGGUUGAGGUAUGCGGAAGGUGUAAUGUAGCGGUGAAAUGCAUAGAUAUUACACAGAACACCGAUUGCGAAGGCAGCAUGCUAAGCCACAACUGACGCUGAUGCACGAAAGCGUGGGGAUCAAACA
rnacentral:rRNA from 1 species